rnacentral:rRNA from 1 species
UGGGGAAUAUUGGGCAAUGGGGGAAACCCUGACCCAGCAACGCCGCGUGAAGGAAGAAGGCUUUCGGGUUGUAAACUUCUUUUACCAGGGACGAAGAAAGUGACGGUACCUGGAGAAAAAGCUCCGGCUAACUACGUGCCAGCAGCCGCGGUAAUACGUAGGGAGCGAGCGUUGUCCGGAUUUACUGGGUGUAAAGGGCGUGUAGGCGGAGCUGCAAGUCAGAAGUGAAAUCUCCGGGCUUAACCCGGAAACUGCUUUUGAAACUGUAGCCCUUGAGUAUCGGAGAGGCAGGCGGAAUUCCUAGUGUAGCGGUGAAAUGCGUAGAUAUUAGGAGGAACACCAGUGGCGAAGGCGGCCUGCUGGACGACAACUGACGCUGAGGCGCGAAAGCGUGGGGAGCAAACAGGAUUAGAUACCC